CGACGAUUUUAACUGAAUCAGCGUGGAUAUCCUUGGUCUUGUUGAGCAAUGAGUCCUAUCCAACUGUCAUCAGGUCUUUGGGCUAUGGCGCAGCCAACACAAUGGCUCGAUUUGGUGGCAUCCUGGCUCCUUUUAUUUUUAGCCUGGGAAGUAACAGAAUGGUACCUUAUAUUAUAUUGGCUGUUAUGUUGGUAUCUAGUGGUAUCUGCGCUUUGUUACAGAAGGAAACCAGGGGGUUGGCUUUAGAGGACCUUAUUGAGACAGUUGCCGAGGAAUACGAAAGAAAAUACAGAAAGAAAUCUAGUAUUUACAACAUUAGCUCAGAAUCAAACAGGACGAUAAGUCAAGUUGGAGAACAAAUCAGCAGCCUAUCACAAAAUACAA